CUUUCUCUCGCUUUCUUUGUCUCUCUUUCUCUCUGCCUUUAACGUUUAUCUUGUCUUAUAAUAGCUAUCUUUUUCCACACACCACCAACCACCCCUCCACUUUCAUUCACUCACUCACUCACUACUGAGUGGCAUCCCUCACCACAACUGAUUAUAAGUAGAUAACUUUGUAAAGAGCAAUGAAAUUAUUGGAGCAGUUGUCUCAAUCAACAACUUUGUCAUUAAGUUCAAUUAGUUUUAGCACCUCUCACUGAGACCGAUCCUGCUACUGAUGUACAGGUUUACCGUUGAGCAGCUUUCCAUGAUGAUACCGUUAUGACUGUCCUUAGAGAUUUACCAAAAAUACAGUGGAAUUAAAAGAAAUAAAGAAAAUCAAGAUCAAA